CUAUCAUAUAUCAUAUAUAACAUAUGAUGAAUAUUUAUAUAUGAUUUUAUGUGUCUAUAUAUGUAUGAGUAGAUAGAUAGAUAUAGAUAUGUAAUUGCUAGCAGAUCAGUCAAUUGUAUUACAUUAGAACCAACUACAUUUUUAUCCAAGGCAUCAUUUGCCAAAAGAGCUGCUUCAUUUGUUUUUGUGUCUCUUCUUUCUUGAACCCCAAGAGUAAAAUGAAUUCUCUUGAGAAGUCUGGGAAGAAUAAGCAAUGAAAGAUAGAAUUUCCAUGGUCCUCAGAAAGUAAUAUCAUCCAGGCGAAGUAAUAUUUAUUACCCAACCAUCAUUUCUUCUGGAACACAUAUCAAAUAAGCUGUCCUGGGGGAGACAUGAGGCUGUAGGAAAAAGCAAAGAAAAAUCAAAUCGAUUUCUUAGACUGGGACAUGGAGACCACUUUCAGAGGCUUCAGAAGGUGAGAACAAAGCACUGACUUGUCCUCAGGAAAAACCAUAAGGUUGAUGGAUCCGAAUGACGCCUGUACAACUAAAGCCAGAGCAGGAAGGAAGUCCCUGGAAAGAGAAAUUUUAUUACUUCCUCACUUCAUAUUGAAAAAAUUGAGAAAGUACAACUUAUCUCAGCAGGCGCAGAAUAAUUGCCAAUUCUCCUCAGAUAGUAAAACCCAACUUAUUCAUCAAAAACAAGUAAGGCCAGGGCCAGCCUGGUGGUGUAGCAGGUUUUGCCUUUUGCCUUUGGAGGUGGUUCAAAUGGAAACAGCUGUAAUCAAUUAAGAUGCGGUGAUUUCAGAUAACCCACUCUCUUUCUUUACAUGGUGACUGGUUAUCCAACCAGGGGCUGGUGAUAAAAGUGUGCUUAAGAGAAAUAAAUUAGUAGCGGUAGAUUUGUCUGGAUAAGUU
rnacentral:lncRNA from 1 species